AGCAGCCGCGGUAAUUCCAGCUCCAAUAGCGUAUAUUAAAGUUGUUGCAGUUAAAAAGCUCGUAGUUGAAUUUUAGGCCUGGCCGGGCGGUCCGUCUUUGGCGAGUACUGUUCUGUGUCGGGUCUUACCUUCUGGUGAACCGGCAUGUUCUUUAUUGAGUGUACCGGGGAGCCAGGACCAUUACCUUGAAAAAUUAGAGUGUUUAAAGCAGGCAUUUGCUUGAAUAGAUUAGCAUGGAAUAAUAGAAUAGGACGUUGGUUCUAUUUUGUUGGUCUAGGACCACCGUAAUGAUUAAUAGGGAUAGUUGGGGGCAUUAGUAUUCAAUUGUCAGAGGUGAAAUUCUUGGAUUUAUUGAAGACUAACUAUUGCGAAAGCAUUUGCCAAGGAUGUUUUCAUUAAUCAAGAACGAAAGUUAGGGGAUCGAAGACGAUCAGAUACCGUCGUAGUCUUAACCAUAAACUAUGCCGACUAGGAAUCGGGCGACGUUAUUUUCAUGACUCGCUCGGCGCCUUAUGGGAAA
rnacentral:rRNA from 1 species